rnacentral:misc_RNA from 1 species
UCAAACUUGGUCAUUUAGAGGAAGUAAAAGUCGUAACAAGGUUUCCGUAGGUGAACCUGCGGAAGGAUCAUCAAUGAAUUUUAUAAAAUUCAUUUGGCUUUGGUGGAGAGGGGCCCUAUUCUCUUUGUAAUUUUUUUUGCUAAGAGGGUUGGGUUUUUAACCAUUCAUCGCCUUAUCAACCAUUAGUCUCUGUCUAACAAAGGUGUUUUGAGAUUUUACCUUUUUCUCAGCCCUUUGCGAUUGACAUUGACUUUUUGCAGAGUGUCUGGAUUUAGGUGUCCCCCGUCCUCUUGUUUGUUGGGUAGGUUUAUUUAUCUUCCAAACAAUAAAUAGGGCGGUAACCUCUCUCUCUUUCACUCGUUUCUGUGGGCAUCAAAAAAAAAUUAAAAUACAACUUUUAACGAUGGAUCUCUUGGCUCCCGCAUCGAUGAAGAACGCAGC